rnacentral:rRNA from 1 species
CCUACGGGAGGCUGCAGUGAGGAAUAUUGGUCAAUGGACGAGAGUCUGAACCAGCCAAGUAGCGUGAAGGAUGACUGCCCUACGGGUUGUAAACUUCUUUUAUAUGGGAAUAAAAUGUUCCACGUGUGGGAUUUUGUAUGUACCAUAUGAAUAAGGAUCGGCUAACUCCGUGCCAGCAGCCGCGGUAAUACGGAGGAUCCGAGCGUUAUCCGGAUUUAUUGGGUUUAAAGGGAGCGUAGGUGGAUUGUUAAGUCAGUUGUGAAAGUUUGCGGCUCAACCGUAAAAUUGCAGUUGAAACUGGCAGUCUGGAGUACAGUAGAGGUAGGCGGAAUUCGUGGUGUAGCGGUGAAAUGCUUAGAUAUCACGAAGAACUCCGAUUGCGAAGGCAGCUCACUGGACUGCAACUGACACUGAGGCUCGAAAGUGUGGGUAUCAAACAGGAUUAGAUACCCGAGUAGUC